AUGAACGCUGGCGGCGUACCUAACACAUGCAAGUCGAACGGAGUCCAGCCUUUAAGACCUUCGGGUCAAAGAGGGGAAGACUGAGUGGCGGACGGGUGAGUAACACGUGGGCAACCUGGCUCAUAGAGGGGGAUAACAGAGAGAAAUUUCUGCUAAUACCGCAUAAGCACACACUGCCGCAUGGCAGAGGGUGAAAAGAGAAUCGCUAUGAGAUGGACCCGCGUCUGAUUAGCCAGUUGGCAGGGUAAGAGCCUACCAAAGCGACGAUCAGUAGCCGAUCUGAGAGGAUGAACGGCCACAUUGGGACUGAGACACGGCCCAAACUCCUACGGGAAGCAGCAGUGGGGGAUAUUGCACAAUGGGGGGAACCCUGAUGCAGCGACGCCGCGUGAGUGAAGAAGUAUUUCGGUAUGUAAAGCUCUAUCAGCAGGGAAGAUAAUGACAGUACCUGAAUAAGAAGCCCCGGCUAACUACGUG
rnacentral:rRNA from 1 species